GACGAACGCUGGCGGCGUGCUUAACACAUGCAAGUCGAACGGAAAGGCCCUGCUUUUGUGGGGUGCUCGAGUGGCGAACGGGUGAGUAACACGUGAGUAACCUGCCCUUGACUUUGGGAUAACUUCAGGAAACUGGGGCUAAUACCGGAUAGGAGCUCCUGCUGCAUGGUGGGGGUUGGAAAGUUUCGGCGGUUGGGGAUGGACUCGGGGCUUAUCAGCUUGUUGGUGGGGUAGUGGCUUACCAAGGCUUUGACGGGUAGCCGGCCUGAGAGGGUGACCGGCCACAUUGGGACUGAGAUGCGGCCCAGACUCCUACGGGGGGCAGCAGUGGGGAAUAUUGCACAAUGGGCGGAAGCCUGAUGCAGCAACGCCGCGUGCGGGAUGACGGCCUUCGGGUUGUAAACCGCUUUCGCCUGUGACGAAGCGUGAGUGACGGUAAUGGGUAAAGAAGCACCGGCUAACUACGUG
rnacentral:rRNA from 1 species